rnacentral:rRNA from 1 species
UACGUAGGGCGCAAGCGUUGUCCGGAAUUACUGGGCGUAAAGCGCACGUAGGCGGCUCGUAUAGUUAGGUGUGAAAGGCCUGGGCUUAACCCAGGAAGUGCAUCCGAUACUGUCAAGCUUGAGUCCUGGAGAGGGGUGUGGAAUUCCCGGUGUAGAGGUGAAAUUCGUAGAUAUCGGGAGGAACACCAGUGGCGAAGGCGACACCCUGGAUGGAGACUGACGCUGAGACA